CAGUUUAAACCAAUUUUGACUUCUGAAUUUCAGCAAAAUAGAGCACCGAUCAAGUCUACUUAUAAAGCUUAAUUCAGGAUAGCAUGCUAGUAUAUUGUUUUAACUUACGAGUAAGAAUAAUGGCUAUAUGCAAUUCUGAAUUCAUCCUGGGUAAGCCAUUUUAACAGGCCUGACAUAGCAACAUUGGCUCAGCCAAUGACGUGGGUUUAGGGUGGGACUAUCAUUUUGUUUGACCAAUAGCAGAUAAGAGAAUCUUUCGGGAAACCUGUUUAAAAGUUACAUUUUUACCAUGCAGUUCAUUUUGGUGCUAUAAUGGAGAAGACAUUAUACACUUCAACUUUUUGUUUUUACUAUAAUAUUUUUUUAACAACAACAUAGCAUGAUCAUGGGCCUUGAUUUUUAUUAUUUUAUUCAUGCUUGUGUUGUGAGUUUAUGUCGUGUCACCAACAGGAUCUCAGAGUGUCUGUGAUAAAACUGAUCACAACAUUAUUAAGUCUCAUCCACCACAACCAGCACAGGGAUGGCAACCAAUGACCCUUGCUAUAGGGGCUGAUGUGAAUCCUGCCAAACAUGCAUGAAAGACAUACAAAACUGAGACAGGGAAUGAAGAGAUGGGCCUGUCCGCUGCUGUUCCACUCCCAGCCUGGGAGGGCACUGUGGCACCAUCAAAACACUACAGGGACACAUGAAAGGUCUCCUGCGGGCACAGAUGAUGCUCAGUCGCCAAGCAACCAAGAAGCGGCAAGCUCAGCAGAGGGUGCUUUAGGAAAAGUCGAGGGAAACAGAAGAGGGUGUACACCUCUUAUCUGGAAGGAGGACAGAGGGUUUGUCUUGUGUCCAGGCCAAUGCAACAAAACAUCUUCUGUGAUGAGUCUGAAGGACAGAUUCUGGAUGUAAGGGAGCUGUUGCAGCCAAGUCCACAGGUGACAGACCCAAACAUGGGAGAUACAAUGAGUGGCAAACCACUAAUGAAAAAUGGAAUUAAAAGACCAGAAAUGUAGAGGUCUGGGGAAGGAAUGUUGUCAUAAGAAUUCCCUGAAUUCUCCAAGGAGCAGAACAAAUCUGGACAAAGGUGUGACAGGAACUUUGCAAAGGAAUUGCAAUGCAAACAUGUUACUUUGGCAUAGUGAAAACGAGUAUAGACAUUACUCUGGUUCCUUCAUGAAAAUAGAUCUACAGGAAGAAUGGGAAAUUACCAAGAGGCCUUUACAGCCAGACUCCGAAAAGCACAGUUAGUCUGAGAUUACAUGAAGGAAUUUUUCAAUCUAAUUUGUAAUGCAUCUGUG
ensembl:lncRNA